GGGCCCGCACAAGCGGUGGAGCAUGUGGUUUAAUUCGAUGAUACGCGAGGAACCUUACCAGGGCUUAAAUGUAAGUUGCAUUAGUUAGAGAUAGCUAUUUCUUCGGACUACUUACAAGGUGCUGCAUGGUUGUCGUCAGCUCGUGCCGUGAGGUGUCAGGUUAAGUCCUAUAACGAGCGCAACCCCUGUUGUUAGUUGCCAUCGAGUCAUGUCGGGAACUCUAACAAGACUGCCGGUGCAAACCGUGAGGAAGGUGGGGAUGACGUCAAAUCAUCACGGCCCUUACGUCCUGGGCUACACACGUGCUACAAUGGCCGGUACAGAGAGCAGCCACUACGCGAGUAGGCGCGAAUCUUCAAAGCCGGUCUCAGUUCGGAUUGAAGUCUGCAACUCGACUUCAUG
rnacentral:rRNA from 1 species